GAUGAACGCUAGCGGCAGGCCUAAUACAUGCAAGUCGAACGGUGUCUUCGGACAUAGUGGCGCACGGGUGCGUAACACGUAUGCAACCUACCUUACAUUGGGGGAUAGCCUUUCGAAAGGGAGAUUAAUACCGCAUAAGACAGUAGCUGGGCAUCCAGCAGCUGUUAAAGAUUUAUCGAUGUAAGCUGGGCAUGCGUCCAAUUAGCUAGUUGGUGAGGUAACGGCUCACCAAGGCAAUGAUUGGUAGGGGAACUGAGAGGUCAAUCCCCCACACUGGCACUGAGAUACGGGCCAGACUCCUACGGGAGGCAGCAGUAGGGAAUAUUGGGCAAUGGACGCAAGUCUGACCCAGCCAUGCCGCGUGCAGGAUGAAGGCGUUAUGCGUUGUAAACUGCUCUUAUACAGGAAGAAACGACUCUUGCGAGAGGCAUUGACGGUACUGUAUGAAUAAGCACCGGCUAACUCCAUGCCAGCAGCCGCGGUAAUAC
rnacentral:rRNA from 1 species